UGCCAGAUUUUGUGAGCUUGUUUCAAUCCUUUGUAUGACAUCGGCUCUGUCUUUGUUGGUUUGGUCCCUCUUCACUCUCAGUUUUCCAAAGCCAUGUAUGGGAUUGGGAAGAAUUUAAGAGGAACUCCUCGCCCAAAACAGAAGUCAAAAAUAUAGUUACAUAUCAAUUAAUACAAUACGUAAGGGUUUAUAUUUGCAACCAUGGCGGCUUGUCCUUCCCUUCCCUUUGCAACUUCUACUUCUACCAUCUUGUUUGUGAGGCUUUUUUUUUUCUUUUUUUUUUUUUUUUUUUUUUUCAAAUUUUUGGAUUAAGAGUUUGCAAUCAAUGCCUUGCCAAAUUAGAAACGUUUAUCAUUUGUUGGUGAUAUGUUGUCAUCGUUAUAUGUAAUGUAUAUAUACAUCCUUGUGGCUAGUUUGUUUGAGUGAGUGAUUAUUAGUGUGGUAGUAUUAAGUUGAUUGAUAUUAAAUUUAUGGAAUUACUUAAAAAUCUUUAUUAUAUAGAAGGUGUCUGUUGUUUUGUAAAUUGAGGAACAAAAUAGUUUUUUCACCUCCAAUCUUAUUGGAUUAGAUUUCAAUAUCACCUCUCUUAAGGGAUCAUGAAUUUCCUCUUUCAAGGAGUUUCAUAAUCCCGUCAAACUCUUAAUUCUAUAACAAAUUUUCAAAACAAACAUAGCCUAAGAGUUGUAUGUGGAGUUCUUUGAAUAAAUAAUUCUUCUUCUUCUUCUUGUAUUAUAAAAUGCUUCUUUAUCAUGAAAACCAUUUAUUAAUAAAAUUUAUUGAACAGAGUA